rnacentral:misc_RNA from 1 species
GAUGAAGAACGCAGCGAAAUGCGAUAAGUAGUGUGAAUUGCAGAAUUCAGUGAAUCAUCGAAUCUUUGAACGCACAUUGCGCCCGCCAGUAUUCUGGCGGGCAUGCCUGUUCGAGCGUCAUUUCAACCAUCAAGCCCCAGGCUUGUGUUGGGGACCUGCGGCUGCCGCAGGCCCUGAAAACCAGUGGCGGGCUCGCUAGUCACUCCGAGCGUAGUAAUACAUCUCGCUCAGGGCGUGCUGCGGGUUCCGGCCGUUAAAAGCCUUAUUUACCCAAGGUUGACCUCGGAUCAGGUAGGAAGACCCGCUGAACUUAAGCAUAUCAAUAAGCGGAGGA